UUGAACGCUGGCGGCAUGCUUUACACAUGCAAGUCGAACGGCAGCGCGGGGCAACCUGGCGGCGAGUGGCGAACGGGUGAGUAAUAUAUCGGAACGUACCCAGAAGUGGGGGAUAACGUAGCGAAAGUUACGCUAAUACCGCAUACGAUCUACGGAUGAAAGUAGGGGACCGCAAGGCCUUAUGCUUUUGGAGCGGCCGAUAUCUGAUUAGCUAGUUGGUGAGGUAAAGGCUCACCAAGGCGACGAUCAGUAGCUGGUCUGAGGGGACGACCAGCCACACUGGAACUGAGACACGGUCCAGACUCCUACGGGAGGCAGCAGUGGGGAAUUUUGGACAAUGGGCGCAAGCCUGAUCCAGCAAUGCCGCGUGAGUGAAGAAGGCCUUCGGGUUGUAAAGCUCUUUUGUCAGGGAAGAAACGGUAGAGGCUAAUAUCCUUUGCUAAUGACGGUACCUGAAGAAUAAGCACCGGCUAACUACGU
rnacentral:rRNA from 1 species